UUCUUGAUAUAUUCUUCAAAAACUUCCCUGCAAGUAAAGUAAUAUUUUUAUCCCUAUGCUUCUAAUUUCUUCAUUUCAGAGUAAAAAGGAGAGAACAUAUACCUAAAACAUUCAGGUUUUUCUGGCCAGAAUUGGAGUUUUCUUAUGUUGUGCGGCAUCACAUUUAGAUACAAUCUGUCGGUCAAUCAAGUGUUUGCUUUUCUGAAAGAACUGAAUCAUUUCCGUAUCUUUCAAUGUCAUCAACUGUUCUGCCAUAUUUAAGCUUCUCUUCAGUUGGAAGUGCAAAGAACUGUUUGCUAAUAUUUCGCACUUUGUCAAGAAAUGAAUCUGCUAUUCCAUGAUUUAUGACCUGAAUUUGAAAUAUUACCCCAUACAUAUUUGAAUUUGAAAUUCCACCUUUGGAACACUUUGGUAAUGCCCCCAAAUAAUGAUUUUUUAAGCUGAAUGAUAUAGACUUGAUUUAACUUGGCCUGAUCUAGGCUAGAGACAGACCUACACCAAGAUAAUCAACUUGUUCUAGUCGAUCUUAGUAUUGGUGUCUUUUUGUGGAUUGUCAUUUCAAGUAUUGCUCCUGUUGGGCUUCGAUAUGGAUCAAAUAAUAAAUAAUUAAGUACUGAAAGUCAGACCUGGAAGCAGCCACAAGACUUGAGACCAGAUUGAAGUUUGUUGAGCUCUUGUUCUCGGGCCAGGGAAUGGGAUGAUGAAAUGAUAAGACUAAGAUCAACUUCUGGUACAUCCAGCAAUGGAGGAAAUGUAUGGAUUGAGCCUUGAGUAUGAAUAUACUUUUCCGGAAUUUCAUUGUUGUUUGCCAGUUCUUGAACUGACUUGAAAACUGUUUCUACGUUUGCAACAGGAGGAAAAGUUUCAGCCAUGGUUUCGGUAAGAAGUAAAAUCUAGGUUAGUUGCAGAUCUUGUUGUUUGCUUCUUUUUUUUCGUUUUUUAACAGUUGAUGUAAACUAGAAUAGGUGGUUUGACUUUUUUUGGUAGCUGGAAAAAUACAGUCUAUCUUUUUUUUUUUUUUGGGUAUUUAAGACAUGCAUUAAAAGACAUACUAAGAGUCAUUGCAUAGUUCAUUACAAACGGGAAUUGUUCUAGGACACAGAGUUCCUAGCUUGUCCCUUUCUAAAAUAGAGUUAACAAAAGUAGGAGUACUAAGAUAAGUAGUUAAACAUCCAAAAGUAGUUGAGUUGCUUCCAUUCUUCGCCAUUGAAUCAGUCGCCUGGUUUGCCUCUCUGAAGGCGUGCUGUAAUAGCGGAUCACCUGCUCUACUCAAUAGGCAUCUGCAAUCAUCAAUUACGUUAAGAGGACAGUUCUUAUUAAGGAUUAAGUUAAUAAGCUCUUUACAAUCUGUUUCGAUGACAAGGGGUAGGUAGUUGUUGUCUAUUAGCUAUCUUCAGUCCAUGCAUUAGUGCCAGUGUUUCCAUAUAUAUGUUAGUAGCAUGUGAAAUACCCAUGUUAUAUCCCAGCACCCAUUCCCCGGUGUGAUUACGAAUGAUUCCCCCUAUUCCGCCUUUACCCGGGUUGCCCAUACAUGAACCAUCCACAUUCAAUUUUAUAGCAGUUUUCUUCCGGAGGAUUCCAUUUAAUAAGGAUGGUGUCCCUAGGCGUAGCAAUCCGGAAUUGGUUUGUUGCUAGAAGUUUAUAUUCCAUGGCUUUAUUAAUGAUGUUUUCUAAUAUGAGAUAUUUGUUAUUAUUUUUGAAUAUCGUCUCAUUUCUUUUUUCAACAGAAAGUAUCAUAUGCCAUUUAAUAAGGAUGGUGUCCCUAGGCGUAGCAAUCCGGAAUUGGUUUGUUGCUAGAAGUUUAUAUUCCAUGGUUUUAUUAAUGAUGUUUUUUAAUAGGAGAGCUUUGUUAUCAUUUUUGAAUAUCGUCUCAUUCCUGUGCAGCUAGAUGUGCCAGAGGACAAAAGGGAGGAUUUCAAACCAAACGAGAUAUUCAUUAUAAAUAGUAGAAGAUUCACAUUGAGUUUUUAGCCAGUGGUGAAGAGUGUAUUUAGCAGGCGGUUCCGGAGGUAGUUUGCUAAAGCCCGCUUGAGCCCAAAUAAUUUUGGAGUUCUUGCAUUUGAAGAGCACGUGGAAUAUAUCUUCCCUCUCAAUGCUGCAAAAGUGGCAAGUUGGAGAGUUGGUUAUAUUUCUAUUGAAGAGCAUUUGUGCCGUUGG
rnacentral:lncRNA from 1 species